rnacentral:tRNA from 1 species
GACGGUGUGGCCGCAGGAAUGGCAUAGGUUUGCAAAACCGAAGAUACCGGUUCGAGUCCGGUCACUGUCA